UACGUAGGGGCGAGCGUUGUCCGGAUUUACUGGGCGUAAAGGGUGAGUAGGCGGUUGUAUAUGUCAGGUGUAAAGGACUAUGGCUUAACCAUGGUUAGCACUUGAAACUGUACAACUUGAGUGCAGGAGAGGUAAGUGGAAUUCCUAGUGUAGCGGUGAAAUUCGUAGAUAUUAGGAGGAACACCAGUGGCGAAGGCGACUUACUGGACUGUAACUGACGCUGAGUCACGAAAGCGUGGGUAGCAAAACAGGAUUAGAUACCCCGGUAGUCCCUGAG
rnacentral:rRNA from 1 species